rnacentral:rRNA from 1 species
CUCUGUGACUCCUACGGGAGGCAGCAGUGGGGAAUAUUGCACAAUGGGCGCAAGCCUGAUGCAGCAACGCCGCGUGAGCGAUGAAGGCCUUCGGGUCGUAAAGCUCUGUCCUCAAGGAAGAAUAAAUGACGGUACUUGAGGAGGAAGCCCCCGGCUAACUACGUGCCAGCAGCCGCGGUAAUACGUAGGGGCAAGCGUUAUCCGGAAUCACUGGGCGUAAAGGGUGCGUAGGCGGUUUUCAAGUCAGAAGUGAAAGGCUAUGGCUCAACCAUAGUAAGCUUUUGAAACUGUUAAACUUGAGUGCAGGAGAGGAAAGUGGAAUUCCUAGUGUAGAGGUGAAAUUCGUAGAUAUUAGGAGGAACACCAGUGGCGAAGGCGACUUUCUGGACUGUAACUGACGCUGAGGCACGAAAGCGUGGGGAGCGAACAGGAUUAGAUACCCUGGUAG